rnacentral:rRNA from 1 species
UACAGAGGUGGCAAGCGUUGUUCGGAAUUACUGGGCGUAAAGGGCGCGUAGGCGGUUCGUCAAGUCCUGUGUGAAAUCCCCCGGCUCAACUGGGGAACUGCACAGGAAACUAGCGGGCUUGAGUUCGGGAGAGGGAAGCGGAAUUCCGGGUGUAGCGGUGAAAUGCGUAGAUAUCCGGAGGAACACCAGUGGCGAAGGCGGCUCACUGGCCCGAUACUGACGCUGAGGCACGAAAGCGUGGGGAGCAAACAGG